GGUUGUGGCUCAAGGGUGGAGCGCUUGCCUAGCAUGGAUGAGGCACUGGGUUCAAUCCCUAGCACCA
rnacentral:tRNA from 1 species